CCUACGGGAGGCAGCAGUGGGGAAUAUUGGGCAAUGGGCGCAAGCCUGACCCAGCAACGCCGCGUGAAGGAAGAAGGCUUUCGGGUUGUAAACUUCUUUUAUCAGGGACGAAGCAAGUGACGGUACCUGAUGAAUAAGCCACGGCUAACUACGUGCCAGCAGCCGCGGUAAUACGUAGGUGGCAAGCGUUAUCCGGAUUUACUGGGUGUAAGGGGCGUGUAGGCGGGAGUGCAAGUCAGAUGUGAAAACUAUGGGCUCAACCCAUAGCCUGCAUUUGGAACUGUACUUCUUGAGUGCUGGAGAGGCAAUCGGAAUUCCGGGUGUAGCGAUGAAAUGCGUAGAUAUACGGAGGAACACCAGUGGCGAAGGCGGAUUGCUAGACAGUAACUGACGCUGAGGCGCGAAAGCGUGGGGAGCAAACAGGAUUAGAUACCCCGGUAGUC
rnacentral:rRNA from 1 species